rnacentral:rRNA from 1 species
CCUACGGGCGGCAGCAGUGAGGAAUAUUGGUCAAUGGACGCAAGCCUGAACCAGCCAAGUCGCGUGAAGGAUGACUGCCCUACGGGUUGUAAACUUCUUUUAUACAGGAAUAAAGUGAGACACGUGUGCCUUUCUGAAUGUACUUUACGAAUAAGGAUCGGCUAACUCCGUGCCAGCAGCCGCGGUAAUACGGAGGAUCCGAGCGUUAUCCGGAUUUAUUGGGUUUAAAGGGAGCGUAGAUGGGUUGUUAAGUUAGUUGUGAAAGUUUGGGGCUCAACCGUAAAACUGCAAUUGAUACUGGCAGUCUAGAGUGCAGUUGAGGUAGGCGGAAUGCGUGGUGUAGCGGUGAAAUGCUUAGAGAUCACGAAGAACUCCGAUUGCGAAGGCAGCUUACUAAACUGCCACUGACGUUGAGGCUCGAAAGUGUGGGUAUCAAACAGGAUUAGAUACCCCUGUAGUC